UACGUAGGGGGCAAGCGUUGUCCGGAUUUAUUGGGCGUAAAGAGCGUGUAGGCGGCCAGACAGGUCCGUUGUGAAAACUCGAGGCUCAACCUCGAGAUGUCGAUGGAAACCGUCUGGCUAGAGUCCGGAAGAGGAGUGUGGAAUUCCUGGUGUAGCGGUGGAAAUGCGCAGAUAUCAGGAAGAACACCAAUGGCGAAGGCAGCACUCUGGGACGGUACUGACGCUGAGACGCGAAAGCGUGGGGAGCGAACAGG
rnacentral:rRNA from 1 species